AGAGGAAUCACUGAGUCACAUGGUGGUCGCUUGUUCAAUCUUUUGAGAAAUUGCCAAACUAUUUUUUACAGUAGCUGUGCCAUUUUACAUUCCCACCAGCAAU
rnacentral:pre_miRNA from 1 species